UCUUGUCCUCCCUUCCCGUGGUGGUGUAUAUAAAGCUUGGCACAACUGCGAAACCAAGUCACUGGGUUUCGGGCACUGCUAGAACUUACUGGCACUCGUUGGUUGGACAGACAGAGAGUGAUUUUGUCAAGGUCCAAGUGAUACCGUGCAUCAUCGUAGUCAAAAGGUGUGAAAUAGAGCAAGAGCUGGUUCAUCCAUAUCUCAAGAAUUUGUUCGUCCAUAUCUCAAGAACUGGUUCAUCCAUAUCGCAAAGAAAUUGUAUCCCAAUUUUACGAUCGGGUCACAAGAAUUCUACAAUCAAACCAUCUCUCUAAUCAACCGAGAUUCGUGUGGAGUCAGCAGCGCAAGAAACUGACUAAUAAUCAGCAGGACUUCUGCAAUCAGAUCAUCUUCGUGAGCGCCACUGAGGGCCGUCGAGAUGCCUUGCUACGACAACUACAGCUCGGUCGAAGUGGCGUCCUUGUGCACGACGGGAUACGGCCUGGACGCCUCCUCCCUCAUCAUCCUGACGUUCCCGCCCUACAGCGCCUGUCACUAUAGGCGCUACGAGUCCUUCUCUCCUCCCAACGCCUCGCGGGGAUCCAAAAGAUCAACCUCCUCUCUCUCUUCUUCGCCUUCUGCCUCGUUUUCCUCUGCCUCUUGCUCCUCCUCUUGCUCGUCCUCGAACUCCUCGUCCUCCCCUUCCUCCUCUCCCUCCAUGUCCUCCUCGAGCUCGACCUCCACCCUCUGCCUCUCCGACGACGACGCAAACAACCGAAAAUGGUGGAAGAGCGUGAGGAAAAUGGGCCAUUACCCGAAGACCGUCGUUCGCAAAAUCAAGAAACGUUUCCAGUAGAGUUUUUGAACGCAUUAUCGACGCAAGCGCCGAGGUCCGUCGUGCGUUCGUAGGAGGAAGGCCUAUGGAGAACGAGGGGGAAGAAGAAAUGAUGAAACAAGGGGAGAGAAAGAAGGAAAACAGGGAAAAGAGGACGGGAAAUAUCUUGACUUAGGAAGGAAAUGCUUGGCUUUUGUAACUGUGUGCUGGCUAGUAAUGCUGGUGGCGAUGAUUAUCUAUCUGGACAGCAACAAAAGAAAAACUGAAUAUUGAGGGAAAAGGGAAAACGGGCAAACACGGUGACGUCAGCGAUUUCACAACAUUCCAAGUUCUCAUAAUUAAACAAAUAUAUAAAUUCCCUCUUACGUCAAAAAGGAAGACUAAGAAUGAUGAUAAACAGAGACGGGGAGAAUAACAAGCAAUCGGAAGAGAUGGAGAGAAAACAGAGAGUGGAUAAAUAGAAGGAAGAAGAAAAAAAGAGGUAGAAGAUAUAUUAAAAUAACGAGAAAGGGAGCACGAGUGUAAAUGAAAAUAAUAAGAGAGAGCAGAGAUAAACGAAAAUAGUGAGAGAGAGCAAGGAUAAAUACAAAUAAAAUAGAACAAGAUAAAU